rnacentral:sRNA from 1 species
UCACAUCUGUUUCUGAAACCCGACUUUGUUAAUUAACAGUUUUAAAAUAUUAAUUAGUUUUGACAUCUUGUAAAUUUUAGGUCAAAAAUACAGUCCAGAACUUCCUCAAAGUGCUAACCUUAAGUAACAUAACAGUGUUUGCCUGUUUGCUUGCCUGGUAAAUUUUGCUUUUUAUACUGACAGACAUUACUAAUGUUUAAGUUGAUUUAUCAACAGUAUUUUUAAAAACUCAAAUUUGUCUUGUGAAAAAUGAGAUGAUUAGAGGAACAGAAAGAAAGCAACAGGUAAAGAAUUCUUCAAUUUACAUAAAUUACAAAUGAUUUGGUGCUAAAUUUAUGCACUAUGACAUUUGGCUUUUAUGCAAUCAUUUUUUUUUCUUUAAAGAUGUUAACACUACCUGAUAUUAAUCAUAAUGUUCCAUUAUGUUGAUUGCUUGUAAUAGGAAGAAAAGGGGUGUCUUCCUGUGCAACUGACACAGCUAGGCUUUGACGGCAGGCCUCCACAAGUAUUAUGGACUACAAAUUUUGGAAAAUGUGAUAAAAACAAGGUGGAAGAUUCUUCCAAGGAACCAGUGCGAAGGAAUAAAAAAAUACGUUGUUG